UAUAUCACCUUUAAUGUCUUUGUUCAACUUUAAAGAAUCCUGUUUGAUUAGUACUGUUUGGUUAUUUUUCUCCGUUUUAGGCAAACUUAAUUUAGGAGCUUAUUUUACUUGGAAAUAUUGUCGUCAAACCAGCUGUAUUUUUAGGGGCAUCCUCAAUCACUUUUCUGUUUGCUUUACAAGAGAACUGUUUUGAAUAUGUAAAUCGAGUUUUUCAACAAAAAAAAAGAAAGCAUUAUGAGAACUUGGAAUCACAUUUACCAAGGCUUGGAGAGCAAUCAAAAUUUAGUGGGAGAACAAAUGAGAUUCACGAGACUCAAGCUUGAGAUAUCAAGCUCACUAGUGCUACCACAUAUCAGAAAUUAUAACUCCAAUUAUAUCAUUUAUGGGCAGCUUGUAAGCACUCAAGAAUGGGCAUCUCCACUCCACCCCAACACUUCCAAAGCUCUCUCUCUUUAACAUUCCACAUCAUGAAUAAUCGUUCUUGAAUAGCUUGGUGAACCAAUCCAGCCAAAAAAAAAAAAAAAAAAAAGGAAGAGGAAAGAAAAAACAGAGGAACUUGUUUGUGAGACUAGGGUUAGCUAGCCAGGAUGAAGGGGAGGAGGCUUCUCAGCUUGCAGGACAUUUUGAUAGACUUUCUAGUUCCCUUCCAACAAACACAAAGCCACGAAAGCCAAAGACAAGUGGAGCAGACUUUUGUGUUGAAUAGGGGAAAGCUCUACUUCAAUGGCUAAUUCAAUGCCUACUGGUUGAAGUCCAUGGCAUCUGAUGCUAGCACAAAGGACAAGGUCAGGUCACAACUACAUUCCAACAAGCUUCCAAGCUUCGCAUGAAUGCUGCAAGAACUUGGGCUUUCAGUGAUUGUGCUAUUUACAAGGCCCUACGCACAGCCCUUUUCCGGCUCCUACGAGGAGGACGUUUUCAAGGUACCCUACAAGAAAAUUGUCUUUUAGAGGCUUUGGACUUUGUGGUCUCAGGAGCCGACAAAUAUGGAAUUUAUCUGAUUUUGAGCUUAGUGAACAACUGGGACGACUAUGGCGGCAAGAGACAGUAUGUGCAAUGGGCAAGAGACCUAGGCCAUUACUUGAACAAUGAUGAUGAUUUCUUUAAUUACCAAUCCUGCCAUCAAAGGAUUCUUCAAGAAUCACAUUAUGUAUGCAUGGCAUGAUAAAUAUAAAUAUCAGUGGCAUUUUUGCAAUGAUUUUUGGAUUUUUGAUUAAUUUUGGAAAAGAAUUUAUUUUUACAACAUUAAUUAAUUACAUUUUAGAAUCAUGAAGAAAUUAAUUAAUUAAAUUUUGAGCAGGCUAUAUUGACAGGAGUGAACCCCCAUAAUUGGGGUGGCUGCUUAUAAAGAUGAUCCCACCAUCCUUGCAUGGGAGCUAAUGAAUGAGCCUGGUUGCCAAAGUGACCUAUCUGGGAUAUCUAUUCAGGUUUCCUCUUUAAUAAUUCAGACUGGACCUGUAGGAUUGGGUUGAGGAAAUGGCAGCCCAUGUGAAGUCCAUUGACGAAAACCAUCUGUUCGAGAUUGGACUGGAAGGAUACUAUGGGGAAUCAUAUCAGAAAAACUGACCAACUUAUGGUCUAAUCUCGUCAAGAGGAGGGACCUUCUCUCAGUAGAGAGUUGAAAGCUUCUGAGAUUCUUGAGCAAUCACAGAGGCAGUGGAAGGGCAUUCUUCCAGCACAACUUCAUACCCAUCAUGCCAACCCUCCAUUCCAG